rnacentral:rRNA from 1 species
GACAGAGGGUGCAAACGUUGUUCGGAAUUACUGGGCGUAAAGCGCGUGUAGGCGGCUUCGUAGGUCGGAUGUGAAAUCCCUCGGCUCAACCGAGGACGUGCAUUCGAAACCGCGCAGCUCGAGUCCCGGAGAGGGUGGUGGAAUUCUCGGCGUAGAGGUGAAAUUCGUAGAUAUCGGGAGGAACACCGGCGGCGAAAGCGGCCACCUGGACGGAGACUGACGCUGAGACGCGAAAGCGUGGGGAGCAAACAG